AGACCUUGAAGAUAAAAUAGAAGUAUUAUUCUUUCCGUUCGUCUUCCGAUAAACACUAUUUCUCAAGUUUCUCUUAUCAUCUAUCGUGACCGACACGCAAUGCCGGAACAGUCGCAAGAUGCAAUUCGUUGUAAAUUUUGCACGCAACGAAAACCUUGAAAGCUUUCCCAUGACAUUCGAAGGGGCAGAGAAGAAGAACACGAAGAUAGAGAAGCAUCAUUUAUUAAGUGCUUCGGGACAAGUACCCUCGAGCACAGAGAUCACAAAUACAAAUAAACUCAAAAUAAAGAACACAACUGUACAUAAUCGUUUUUGAAAAGCAAUAAGAAUAAAAUAAAAAAAAGAAACAUAAAA